UUAAAUUGAAGAGUUUGAUCAUGGCUCAGAUUGAACGCUGGCGGCAGGCCUAACACAUGCAAGUCGAACGGUAACAGGAAGCAGCUUGCUGUUUCGCUGACGAGUGGCGGACGGGUGA
rnacentral:rRNA from 3 species